UACGAAGGGGCGAGCGUUGUUCGGAUUUACUGGGCGUAAAGGGCGCGCAGGCGGCAGAUCAAGUCAGGCGUGAAAGCCCCGGGCUUAACCUGGGAACUGCGUCUGGGACUGGUUUGCUAGAGAUCGGGAGAGGAGAGUGGAAUUCCCAGUGUAGAGGUGAAAUUCGUAGAUAUUGGGAAGAACACCGGUGGCGAAGGCGGCUCUCUGGACCGAUACUGACGCUGAGGCGCGAAA
rnacentral:rRNA from 1 species